UACAUCUAUAGUCUCGGUCUCAUAUCUGAACUCACCCCUCUCUCUCUCUCUCUCUGUGUCUCUGCGCAACUGCAAACUACAAAAUCUAGAAGAAUAAGACGUUCAAAACCCAUAUAUUUCAGUUUAUCUAUCUGUCUGCAAGAAUCAAAAGUUCAAAACCCAUAUCGGCUUAUCAUUUCAGAUUGUUCAAAAAAUCAAAACCCAUAUCUUUCAGUUUCCAUCGGCCGCUGUUCCAUUUCCGGUUCGCCGUUCGCAAGCUUCAGCCGCUGUCUCUCAACUCUCAAGCUUGCCCCCCUCUCUCCCUGCAACUGUUAACUUAAUUUGUUAGUCAAAGAAAGCACUGAGAUUCCAUUAAGAAGAUGGUCCGGAUUUGGAGUGAAAUCGGACCAUGCGACGACAAAGGUUUAAAUUUUGGAAUAGAAACAAAAAGUCCAAGUGAAAUGAGUGGAAUCGGAAAAAAAAAGAAGGGUAAGGACAGGGAAAGUUUAUUGGACAGAAACUAAAAGGUCAUCAUACUAUAGGGAUGCCACAAAUGAAACUGCAAACUUACAGAAUUCAUAACAACACCUUGUCGAUAUCUCAGUUAUUCAUAGCAUGAUUAUUCCUAGGGAAGACGUAUUGCAAACAAAGUUAAGGAAGUAUGCAAAUAAAUUCAUUUCCAAGGUAUAUUAUAGUCACGAGGAGACAAGUCUGGAAAUUGAGACGCUGAAUUCUGAAUCAAAAUCAAACAGAAAGGUGUUGCGUAGUCUUUUAAUUGAGAAACUUGGCCGACCAUUUUCUACCUGGCUUUGUAAUGGUCCCCCAGAUCUCUUCCUUGAAGACCCCACGACAGGGUUAUACAUUGGGCCCGGAGAUCGUUUUUACAAAGCUUUCAAAGGGAUAAUAAAUGGCUUGGAUAAUUUUAUAGAGGUAGAUGGUUAUUACGGUAAUCUCUUGGACGGGGUUACCGUCCUAGAUUCUUGAGAUAUCAAACUGUUUAUACCAGUCUACAAAGCAGAUCCUUUGGAUGCUUUGCGGGGUGACAUCACUGAUUUGUUGAAGUUGGUCCAAAAUGCCGCUGAUGCAAUGAGCCAAAUGGAAGAGAUUGAGAAAAAUACUUGUGAGUUGAAUGGCAAUUGUAUUAUACUGUUCGAGAAAAUGAUUUUGAAGAUACUGCCCUCAUGCAACACAGUUGUCGAGCUUAAAGAACUAUGGUUUUUUGUUAAAAACUGUCCUAUUUUUCAUAAUAGUGAAGAUCAAUACAAUAUGGUUAGUAAGUUUAAUGACUUUCCAGACCUGGAGUAUUAUCUAUGCGACAUGGAAAGGGAUUUGGAGAAUUCUCCCACUGAUAUGAGUGGUUGGCAUAAUGACAUUCUUCAAAGUUAAAGCCUUUCCCAAAUGAAUCUCACCAACAGCGUAAACAAUAUAAUUAGAUAAGGAUGUUCUUGACAGAAAAGGAAUAUUAGAAGCCCUUUUAAGAUGCAAAAGUUACUUCUCAUCUCUCACCCACCUACCUAAUCUGUCCGCUGCUUCUAAAAAAUGUCUUUCCCACAAGCAAAAGUUUCUCUCCAACAGCCAGCCAAUCAUCUCUAUGCAUGUAAUGUAUAAGUUGGUUUUAUUUUUUAUUUUUUGUUACAAAUCUAUGAAUCUUGUAUUAUCUGCAUCUUUGAAAUUAAAUUUCUGGCGUAAAUCUUGGUACAAAAGUUCUGUGUGUAUCUUGCAUCUUGUCUAUGUAGUUGUAUAUUACUGUUCUUAUUUUAGUCUAGCAUAAAUUAUGAAAUAAAAUAUUCACAUUUCAACGUCAAGUUUCUAAUAUGUUAAUGUGCCUCAAUUUUAAUGAUGCAGGUUUAAAUUUUGGAAAAGAAACUAAAGACCACUUGAAAUGAGUGGAAUCGGGAAAAAAAAAAAAAAAAAAAAAGUGAAUUCUUUCAACUUAUUUUACUUGUUCUAGUAGUGCUAUCUUGUUUAUCAAUUGAUUUUUUCAUCUAUUAAAAAAAAAUAUCUCAUUUAUUAGUAUAUAGCUUUAUUUUUACUUUAAAUUUGAGUAGAUAAUCACAACGUUUGUCACUUUAUCAAUUGAUUUGUUCUUUUUCUUACACCAGUGCAUUAAAAUUUUUAGUUUGGGCACCUCAUAUUGCUUGUCCUGGGUACCAACUUGAUCUUCUUUUUGUGUAGUUUGUUUCAAUUCUUUCACAUGGUCAAUUUGAUCCAUUUCAAUCAGAUUUCACAAGGGUGUGAGAGCUUGUGAACAAAAUUUGACAGCCCAAAGGUCUCCAUUGAAUGUGAAAAAUAAAAAUAAAAUAAAUAAAUAUCCCUCUUGAACUUUGUUUUGUUCCCUCCCAAAAAAAAAAAAAAAACUUUUUCUUAUUUUGGGUUCGAUUUGUCUGAUGUUAAAUGAAACUAAAUGUUGAAAUUACAUCUUGUCUUUUAAAAGUUUAGAAUCAAAAUUUGGAAGAGGAUUUGAAGUUAUUGUUACAUGUCUUUUAGACUAAUCUGGAAUCACAAUCCAAAACUUUUUCAAUAAGCAUUCUUGGGGCAUUACCCUUUUAAAAGCAAAGAUUUUCAACUAAUUUUUGUUUCAUUCUAUGAAGCAUUUAAGCAUAUAGCAUAUUCACAUCAUAAAUAAAGCAAGUUCCUGUCAAACUUGCAAAAAGGAAACCAUAAAUAGAGAAAUUUUCUUACAGUGUCCCCCAAAUCACAUUCUUUGUAAUAUUCGUCAAAAUUUCGUAAUACGUGAAAUGAUUUCUUGACGUUUUUUUGGUUCUUCUGCUUCUCCUUUUUUUUCUAAUUUUUUUUUAAUAUAUCCGCUUUCUUUAAACUUGCUCUGUUUCUUUCUCUUCUUAUUUUAGCAUGUGUUUUUAGUGAUUUGGUGUGAGCUUUUAUUUUCUUCAAAAUUAAAAUUUUAAUCUGCACUUUGCUAAGCAAAAACCGAAGUGGAAUAAAAAGAAUUAUUUUACUUGUAACACUAGUGCUAUAUUGU